GCGGGGCUGCGGGGUGCGUCUGGAGUCACUUCCCCGGGGCCUUACGAUCCCUACGGGAGCUGUCCCUGACCGGGUCCGUGGAUCCGGACAUAUGGCGCCCACCUACUUCUGUAGGUUCCCGGGAUCAUAGCUCCGACGGCCACUGCGGCUCCGCA
rnacentral:other from 1 species